UACAAGAAGAGCAACCUAAUGUUGAACCCGAAACUACAAGUAGUUUUCAAGCAUAUGUAUAUGGUGAACAAUCGUCAUUAGGAUCAGAUCAAGCACCACCGCCACCCACAAACCCUAGAAGUGCUUCUGAACAGCCUACAGGGUCAUGUUCACCUUUAUCGUCAGCUCAAGUACCCCUGCAUCCAACAAUUGGAUUGCUGUACGAUUCGCCCAGGAACCUACGUU